rnacentral:rRNA from 1 species
GACGAACGCUGGCGGCGUGCUUAACACAUGCAAGUCGAACGAUGAAGCCUAGCUUGCUAGGUGGAUUAGUGGCGAACGGGUGAGUAAUACGUGAGUAACCUACCUUUAACUCUGGGAUAAGCCUGGGAAACUGGGUCUAAUACCGGAUACGACCAAUCUCCGCAUGGGGUGUUGGUGGAAAGCGUUAUGUAGUGGUUAUAGAUGGGCUCACGGCCUAUCAGCUUGUUGGUGAGGUAACAGCUCACCAAGGCGACGACGGGUAGCCGGCCUGAGAGGGUGACCGGCCACACUGGGACUGAGACACGGCCCAGACUCCUACGGGAGGCAGCAGUGGGGAAUAUUGCACAAUGGGCGCAAGCCUGAUGCAGCGACGCCGCGUGAGGGAUGACGGCCUUCGGGUUGUAAACCUCUGUUAGCAGGGAAGAAGAGAGAUUGACGGUACCUGCAGAGAAAGCGCCGGCUAACUACGUGCCAGCAGCCGCGGUAAUACGUAGGGCGCGAGCGUUGUCCGGAAUUAUUGGGCGUAAAGAGCUUGUAGGCGGUUUGUCGCGUCUGCUGUGAAGGCCGGAGCUUAACUCCGUGUAUUGCAGUGGGUACGGGCAGACUAGAGUGCAGUAGGGGAGACUGGAAUUCCUGGUGUAGCGGUGGAAUGCGCAGAUAUCAGGAGGAACACCGAUGGCGAAGGCAGGUCUCUGGGCUGUAACUGACGCUGAGAAGCGAAAGCAUGGGGAGCGAACAGGAUUAGAUACCCUGGUAGUCCAUGCCGUAAACGUUGGGCACUAGGUGUGGGGAACAUUCCACGUUUUCCGCGCCGUAGCUAACGCAUUAAGUGCCCCGCCUGGGGAGUACGGCCGCAAGGCUAAAACUCAAAGAAAUUGACGGGGGCCCGCACAAGCGGCGGAGCAUGCGGAUUAAUUCGAUGCAACGCGAAGAACCUUACCAAGGCUUGACAUAUACUGGACCGCAUCAGAGAUGGUGUUUCCCUUCGGGGCUGGUAUACAGGUGGUGCAUGGUUGUCGUCAGCUCGUGUCGUGAGAUGUUGGGUUAAGUCCCGCAACGAGCGCAACCCUCGUUCUAUGUUGCCAGCACGUUAUGGUGGGGACUCAUAGGAGACUGCCGGGGUCAACUCGGAGGAAGGUGGGGAUGACGUCAAAUCAUCAUGCCCCUUAUGUCUUGGGCUUCACGCAUGCUACAAUGGCCGGUACAGAGGGUUGCGAUACUGUGAGGUGGAGCUAAUCCCUAAAAGCCGGUCUCAGUUCGGAUUGGGGUCUGCAACUCGACCCCAUGAAGUCGGAGUCGCUAGUAAUCGCAGAUCAGCAACGCUGCGGUGAAUACGUUCCCGGGCCU